UUGCACAAAAAAUUAUUACUAUUAUUAUUUGAGAAAGAAUGACUAUUAAAUCCCUCUCUCUAUGAUACCCAAGGUCACAUGAUCUCAGAUACCUCCAAAUAGAUUCAAAAUAUAAACUCUGGUCAUUUCCCUAAUAGAAGCUGACAUGCUUCAGGCUUUUGAAUGGACACAAGGACUCUGGACCAAAACAGGGCUAAAGGAAUUUGCAAAUUGAAGGUAUAAUGAAGACCAUCAGACCAUGGGAGUCCAUUUUCUCACCUUUUUCAGUUUCCUUCCUCUUAUUCCAGAUGCUCACAUUGACCUCAGGUGAGGAAGAGAUGAUGUCAAUGGAUCCGAGGUGGGAAAGAUGAUGAGGGACGUCAUUGGCUUCUGGAUGGUCCUUCACAUGUAUUUAGUACAUAUGUAUU